rnacentral:lncRNA from 1 species
AUGGCAGACGGUCAGCAGCCAGAGGAGCACUGGGCCUCCAACGGCCAGGAGAAUGGCGAGAAUGGCUACUCCGCUUACAGCUCGGCCUAUAGAGAGAAUGGAUACCACGGGGGUGGGGCGACUGCGCAUCCUGGGACGUCAGUGGAUGACUCAGCCAAUUUGCCUCCCUCCCCUCCCCCCUCUCCAUCCGCUGAGCAGAUUGGGCCUGUGGCACAAGAUGAUAAAGUAGAGGUUGUCAGUCAACAGCAGGAUGAGAAGGAGGAGGCUCCAGAGGAGCUCAACAGUCACCAAGAGGAUGUGACAUAUGAGCAGCCAAGAGAUUUGCUCUUAGAACAAACAGAUUAUUUAACAGAGCCCCAGGCUUUGGGCUGCCAGCAAGCCCAGACCCCUGAGGCCCUCAAUGGAGGAAGUCAUCAAGGUGAUCACAACCCAUCACAAAAAGGUGUGGAGCACCAUCAGCCCCUCAGUGUGGCCCACCAGUCCAGGGAGAGGACCACUGAGAGAGCGUACCGGAGCCCCGAGAAGAAGUCGUCCCUCCCCAGGCCGGCCAAGUCUCUGACACGCCACAUCCCGGCUGCUGAACAGGAGGACAACAGCACCCCCUCCAGGCCAACCUCGUUCCGAACAGCCGACACCAGGUCUGGAAGAGCCCCUAGUAUGGCAGGUAGAACACCUAGUAGUUCCUUUUAGACCUUUCACACCAUCUUCAUCGACAUCUGUUUAUUAGUUUAUAAUGUUUAUUUAUGCUUGUUUGCUUUAAUAACUCUAAGAUACGGACUUAUAUUUUCCAUAGAAGAGAACUCUCCCACCAGAGUUCUCUCUUUUAACAGGAAGAAACCUCAGGCAGAGCUUGGCUCAGGGAGGGACAGUAAUCUGCACAAAAGUUUAGGGUCACUCAAUUUUGAAAGAAAAGCAUAUUUGUUUUUGUCUAACAAACAUGAAGUGGAUUGGAAAUGUUGCAGAUGGCAACAAAUAUCUCUGUUUCUGCCUCAGUGGCCAAUGUUGUUUACCUCAUGCAAAUUUAAUGGGGCUGGAUCAUCAGAAAACUCUCGUCCAAAUGGUUAAAAAUGCAAUGAAUCUGGCCUUUUGGGUGUCUGGAAAGAGGUUUUCAUUCAACAGUGUGUACUACCCCUUUCAUAAACAAGCACAAUUCAGCUGUUCUGGGUAUCAUUUAAUCAAACCGCCAGCUGAAAACUUGUCAGGUCUGUGGAUGCACUUGUCUUAUUGUCUGGUUUUGUACCAGGAUCUCCUCUUUCUCCUUCUCCUCUGGUACAAAGCCAUCUUGCCCUGUUCCGAGAAGGGUCGAAGAUGUCCCCCUUUACAUGAGACUUGUCUUCUUGUCCACACGCAUCGAGACAGUGUCCCAUAUUUUGAGUAGCUCUACUGUACAAAAGUAAAUAGAUAU